GAUGAUGAUCCCUGAAGACACGAGAAGAGCAAGGAAGUAAGUAACUCCACUUUGACGGGAGAUUUUGAGUAAGGUCUUCAGGAUAAGCGGAGGGGGAGUAUGGUGCGGUGCUGGUGGAGAAUGUUUCGGGUUGACGUUUUCUUUCUCUAUCGUAUGUCUGUUUUGUCGAUAGAGUUUUGAUAUGAAGUUAUGUUAAAUAGAGUUUGAUGUUUAAGAUACUUAAUUUCCUUUGAAAAUCAAGCAAUACACUCACGGUUAUAUGUCUUCAUACAUAUAAUCGAUUCGCCUUUUGCUGCGAUACUCUGCAUAUUAUUCUUCAUUAUGAAAAAUGAGCUAUACCCGUUUUGUUUUUGUU